UAACCCGUGAGAAUGAAAUUCUGAGGCGAGCCAGCAGAGGGUACUGUUGGACCUUGGACCAAGCCUGGACUGAAGAAGACAGCAACCCGGCUCAGAUGUUUGUCCUCUGAAACUGGCAAAUGGAUGAGAGAAACUGACAGGAAUGGUGGAAAUGAAGAUUUUUUUUCACAUGUCCUGAUGCUGGUGGACCUGUUGGUGAAUGCAGCUACCACACCUCCUCAAAGAAACCUGUCUGUACAGCAAAUAAAGACAGUCACAGAAAACCACAACUGGAGAUCCACAGAUCCUGGGGGAGCCCAGCCUCGAGAGAAACAUCUGUAUCUUCUUCUGCAUCUGCGGCUCAGGGCACUUCACAGAAGAGAGAUGAUGGAAAGAUUGUUCGACCAGGAUGUAUGAUAUGAAGCAGUCUCACCCAGAAACGGCUGCAUGAACAAGACCAGAACAACGGAGCAGAGGUCCUGCCCCGCUCCCUUUCUCUCAUGUGUGUGGGUGGAGCUGAAGAUUGAGAUAUUCAUCAGCUCGGUUAUUCGGAUCCUAAACACCACUUCAAUUCCUUCUUAGCAUUUCUUCCCUCAGCUGUGGACACAUCAUCUGAGAGUCCUAAGGUGUUUGGGAUGGUUUACAUCCAGGAAACAAGGGCCGGUUUUCCCUUUUCCUUUUGGCGUAUCUCAUUAUUCUGUUUGUACAUUACCAUGAACUUGAUGAAACGUUCAUGUUCAUUUCGGUUUGGGUUUUUUUUAUUUUUGCACAUACAUCAAAUCUCUCCAGGGACCAUCUUUUGUUCCUUUUCUCCUGCUUUGCAAAGCUUUCCCAAAGCACUGGAGUUCUGAGGCUGGGGUGUUUACAAUGUUCGGUGCCAGGUGUGUGUGCUGACUUGCUGGGAAUGCAAAGCUCCACGACACUCAUUGACGGGUGGAGCCGAUGUGGUAGGGUGCAGCAUCUACACUCCCAUCUCCGUGUUUGUCUCCAUCCACUUUAUCUGAGGCUGAACUCCAGGAGAGCCAUUCACACAAAUGCCGCCGUCAACAACUCCAGGGCGCCCUUCUGAGUUUCCCUUCUACAUACACCCAAAUGGAAUGCAAUUAGGCUGUGUUGGAAGUGCAGGCAUUCCUCAUAAUCAGCAGCCUCCCCUCCCCUCCCCAUCAUUAGGUUGAUAAAAUGUUUUCCAAUUAUGAACCUUAAAUGGAACCUUUUGACUGCUUAGAAGCAAAUUGCUAUUUAGCUAAAAAACCCUUUUAGUAAGGAUAGUAGUGGGUUUCAUUUAUGUAUCUGCUCAUCCUGGUUGUUUCAUGGAGCAUCCUUUAUUAACAACGGCAGGCCAUUAGCAGAAUAAUGCUGCCGAUGCACCUCCCUUGCUUACACCGAGACAACAACCUGAAUUCUCUCUGUGGUCUGUGGAUGCUGUAAUUCCUCGUUCUUGCUCAAAAUAUAGCUGCUGUCUGGUGUUCCCUAUCCUUAGAUCAAUAAACUCAGUAUUUGUUCCGAUGAAUCACUAAUCCACCAGACAGCACCUCAGAUGGCCAUGGUCCAUUGCCUUGUGACAGACUGUGCUUGGACUGUGACAUUUUGCCUGCUGUGUCUCACAGCUUUGAGGCACGUAAACAUCACAGAGCCAAACCAGAACACCACUUCCCUGUCAAAGCUGAGCAGAGGUUCAGAGCCAUUACACACAUGAGCUAUACAACCAGGAAGAAGAAAGAUUUUUAAUAUCUGUUCACAUAUCACCCCGUGAGCCUUCCUCAAUUUCACAAGAUAAUGCCAACUGAACACCAGCAGUGUUAUCCGAAUCACUUAAGUUUCCCCAAGAUAGAGAGGAAAUAGGUCAUCUUCUGUUUCUGACCCCAAGACUGUGGGCCAAUCUUACACUGACAUGGAGUGGAAGUUGAUUUAAUAAAAUACCUUAAAUUGUCUUGUCUUGGUAGUACAUGGCUUUUGACCUUAGUUGGUCAAAUCGUUAUCCAGCCCAACUUAAGACAAAUUCAGGCCUUUCGUACUCUAAGAUAAAACAUUUUGUACAUCUCCACACAGCUUCUUUUUAUCUUUCCUCUCUCUUAGUGUGGAAUUUUCAUAAACAAUCUAGAACAUAUGUGAGAAAUGCCAGAAGAAUAUAUGUUAACUUUCUCUGCAAGCCCUGGAAGACAAAUAUGUUUCUUCUUACUCCUUAUUAAAGAAAUAUUUUAAAAUACAAUGUUUUGUUUUCUUGCUAGAUUUCUUGCUGUUACCCAAGAGAAAAAAAAUUAAAAUAGCCUGUAAUUCUCUCUCUAAGGUAAUCACUAUGACAUACUUGAUGGCCAUUGUCUUA